CUACGACAAGCUGUGUGCGGCGCGACUAACGGAGGCGGACGCUGCAAGCUUCCUGACCUGGGCGUGCGUGCUCGAUCCGGUCCCGUUCCGGUCGGAUCCGUGGCGGUGCUCCUCUCCGGCGAGGUCGCAGGUCGAUCCGACGCGGGGCGGCUCGAUCUGCAAGCGGAGCAACUCCGGCACGGCCAGGGCGACGACUGCUCCCCGACGCCGGCACCCUCCGCAAGGAGCGACGACAGCUCGAAGCUCUGCGGCACGGCGUGCGCCGAGCGACGUGCAGCGAGGGCGCCGCUGCCUCAGCCACCGGCGUGUCCGACCACUCGUCCACGUCCCCACUGCUGCCGCCGGCCGGCCACUCGACGUCGCUUGUCCCGCUGCUUUAGCAGGCCAAGAAACCGGAACGCCCCCCGCGCCUGGCGACCUCGGCAUCUCCAUCGACCGUCUCAGAAAGCGCUACCUCGCCCGGCUCCCGCAUAGCUGAUGCAAGCCAAGAAACAGGGAGUGCUGGCAGUAGUACUCUGAAUCCAUCAAUGCAGCCGAAUCCAUAAUGCUAAUCAAGAGGUGGUUUUGGCCUAACUGGGAUGUGCUUGAGUCCCGCAUAGCUGUGGAGGAGGAAGCUGCUGCCCUUCUUGAGUAGUUUGCAAAGAUCUUCAGUGAGCAAAGAGGGCAGUGGAAGGCAGCAACCCAAUCCCAGGAGUUCCUUUGAACCCUUCAGCGUUAAUACAAUAAUGCUUACACAGAUCCUGAGAAGCAGGAUGCUAUAAAUGUAUUCUUGGGCCAUUUCCAGUCUGAACAAGGCAAACCUCCUAUUGUGGAAGUUGGACUGAGAUCAGCAUUACGAUGUUGGCCGCCAAGGAACUCUAUGUGAAGAAACUGGAAGGUCCAUAUAAUUAUGAUGUCUUGGAGGGUAUGACGUUCGGCAAUAUUUCUGAAUCCUUCAAUGCUGACUUUGAGGAUGGUACAAUCGGGGAGGUAAUUAUUUUUCCUUUUGUCAUGUGAAGCCCAACACUAUGCUAUUAACCAGGUAUGGAUCUUUGAGAGUAUCCUUCUGGGUGAAUAUGGAGAAGUAAUGAAUAUCCAAGUACUUGCUGUGGCUGAAAGGGUAGACCUGCUCUAACCAAAGGACCUUUAGAUGCUUGGCCCAGUUCGCCCAUUGUUUUUGACUACAACCAUUGCACUUACUGUUGUGGACCGGUUCGGUAAUUAACCAAAGGAUGAUUGUAAUAGUUGGCUCCGCCUGUCAUGUAUAGAGCAACCGAAAGUUGUAUAUGUUCCUCCCAAGUUAUCAUGUAUUACAUUUGUGGACAGUUGUAUAUGUUCUGAUCUGUA